AAACCAAAAAAAAAAAAAAAAUCAAAUAAUUAGGGAAUUUAAUAACCAAAAAUAUGAAGGCAACUAAAAGUCCAAAAUGGGCAACAGGCACUCGAGAUGAAACGAGUAAAAUCCAGGAAAUGUGCUCAUGAUUAGUAAUCUAAAGGAAAAACAACUACGGCUCGCUCUCUUCCCGUACAGAAAGUCUGUUGUUCCCUAAGCACUUAAAAGGAAAAAAGCAAAGCUUGCAGCUGUUCACUUACCACCACAUUUUCUGUCUAGGCAGAAAGUGUGGAAGGAAUAGGAUACAAUCCAUCCCAUCUCAUGUAGUCGUAAAAGAAUAGCAUCACAUCAAGAGAAGUUAAACAACCAAAUCAAUUACAAAGGUCAGAUACACAUAUCAUGAUCAUGUAAAAAUCCAUUUUUGUAUGGGUGAAAAUUUCAACUAUUAAAAAUAAAUAAAUAAAUAA
rnacentral:misc_RNA from 1 species